GCAAGGUUGACUAGGCUACCGGGGGCGGCAGGUAUCCUAGUGGUUAGAGUGUUGGGUCAGUAACCAGCAGGUAUCCUAGUGGUUAGAGUGUUGGGUCAGUAACCAGCAGGUAUCCUAGUGGUUAGAGUGUUGGGUCAGUAACCAGCAGGUAUCCUAGUGGUUAGAGUGUUGGGUCAGUAACCAGCAGGUAUCCUAGUGGUUAGAGUGUUGGGUCAGUAACCAGCAGGUAUCCUAGUGGUUAGAGUGUUGGGUCAGUAACCAGCAGGUAUCCUAGUGGUUAGAGUGUUGGGUCAGUAACCAGCAGGUAUCCUAGUGGUUAGAGUGUUGGGUCAGUAACCAGCAGGUAUCCUAGUGGUUAGAGUGUUGGGUCAGUAACCAGCAGGUAUCCUAGUGGUUAGAGUGUUGGGUCAGUAACCAGCAGGUAUCCUAGUGGUUAGAGUGUUGGGUCAGUAACCAGCAGGUAUCCUAGUGGUUAGAGUGUUGGGUCAGUAACCGAAAGGUUGCUAGAUAGAAUCCCCGAGCUGACAAGGUA